rnacentral:rRNA from 1 species
GAUGAACGCUAGCGGGAGGCCUAACACAUGCAAGCCGAGCGGUAUUGUUUCUUCGGAAAUGAGAGAGCGGCGUACGGGUGCGUAACACGUGUGCAACCUGCCUUUAUCUGGGGGAUAGCCUUUCGAAAGGAAGAUUAAUACUCCAUAAUAUAUUGAACGGCAUCGUUUAAUAUUGAAAGCUCCGGCGGAUAGAGAUGGGCACGCGCAAGAUUAGCUAGUUGGUGAGGUAACGGCUCACCAAGGCGAUGAUCCUUAGGGGGCCUGAGAGGGUGAUCCCCCACACUGGUACUGAGACACGGACCAGACUCCUACGGGAGGCAGCAGUGAGGAAUAUUGAUCAAUGGGUGCAAGCCUGAACCAGCCAUCCCGCGUGAAGGACGACUGCCCUAUGGGUUGUAAACUUCUUUUGUAUAGGGAUAAACCUACCCUCGUGAGGGUAGCUGAAGGUACUAUACGAAUAAGCACCGGCUAACUCCGUG